rnacentral:rRNA from 1 species
CCUACGGGAGGCAGCAGUGAGGAAUAUUGGUCAAUGGCCGGAAGGCUGAACCAGCCAUGCCGCGUGAAGGUCAGUGCCCUAUGGGCGUUAAACUUCUUUUGUGCGGGAGCAAUAAUGGUCACGUGUGGCCAGACGAGAGUACCGUACGAAUAAGCAUCGGCUAACUCCGUGCCAGCAGCCGCGGUAAUACGGGGGAUGCAAGCGUUAUCCGGAUUUAUUGGGGUUAAAGGGUGCGUAGGCUGUGAGGUAAGUCAGCGGUGAAAUGCCCCCGCUCAACGGGGUGAAGUGCCAUUGAUACUGCCUUGCUGGAAUGCGGGUGCCGUGGGAGGAAUGUGUGGUGUAGCGGUGAAAUGCAUAGAUAUCACACAGAACACCGAUUGCGAAGGCAUCUCACGAAUCCGCGAUUGACGCUGAUGCACGAAAGCGUGGGUAUCAAACAGGAUUAGAUACCCCUGUAGUC